UUUUCGGCCCGCUGGUACCGCCGCCGCCGCUGUCUCCGCUGUUAUCCUGCUACCGCGCUCGCUUUCUCUUUUCGCGAGUGUUAUUGACACUUUUAAAAUAUAAAGAUCAAAAGCGAGCGGACACGAAUGAGCCGCUCUCAAGCCUGUGCGAGCAAGCAAGUGCGAGUCUCGAUUUAGGACCGGUGAUUGACAGCCUCCGUCUCGCCACUGUUCUCCAUUUCAUCGAGCACGGCUACAAGGGAAUCGGAAGGAAAGGCCAGUGAGCAGGCAUUAACGGAGCCAAUGGACCAUAAAAAUGCCCCUGGUCCAUGCGGCGGUGUAGCAAGGGCUGCCCAGCACACCAGAGAGUAGCACCUUAGACCAUGCCACUCAGCUACAGCUAUGUUCCGAUUCUGGUGUGGAAGUUGCGUGCAUUCAUCUCUUCUUCACCUUGGUGCAGAAAUGACCUUGCCAUGCCAGGGACGAACACCUUACACUACACUACUCAGCAACAGGGCCAUACGGUGCAGAGAGGACCUGCCGACGCCGGGGAUUGUCACCUUACAGUAUGCCACACAAUUACAGAGCCAUGAAAAGACAGCUGCAAGAUGACACAAAGCAAGAUGGUUUCCCAAUGCGUAAAGAUUGAACACCAACCUCCGAGAUGAAUCAGAAGAAGCGCCUGUAUGGAUAGGACACGAGUGUAGUAAUAAAACCAUAUUGCCAAUAUAAA